UACAGAGGGUGCAAGCGUUGUUCGGAAUUACUGGGCGUAAAGCGCGCGUAGGCGGUUUUGCAAGCCAGAGGUGAAAUGCCUGAGCUCAACUUAGGAAUUGCCUUUGGGACUGCGAGGCUUUGAGGACUGGAGAGGUGAGUGGAAUUCCCAGUGUAGAGGUGAAAUUCGUAGAUAUCAGGAGGAACACCGGUGGCGAAGGCGGCUUUCUGGACGAUAACUGACGCUGAGACGCGAAAGCGUGGGGAGCAAACAGG
rnacentral:rRNA from 1 species